UCCUCUGCCUUUCUUCGACCAACUUUCUC
rnacentral:piRNA from 1 species